rnacentral:rRNA from 1 species
GCAAGUCGAGCGAACAGACGAGGAGCUUGCUCCUCUGACGUUAGCGGCGGACGGGUGAGUAACACGUGGAUAACCUACCUAUAAGACUGGGAUAACUUCGGGAAACCGGAGCUAAUACCGGAUAAUAUAUUGAACCGCAGGUUCAAUAGUGAAAGACGGUUUUGCUGUCACUUAUAGAUGGAUCCGCGCCGCAUUAGCUAGUUGGUAAGGUAACGGCUUACCAAGGCAACGAUGCGUAGCCGACCUGAGAGGGUGAUCGGCCACACUGGAACUGAGACACGGUCCAGACUCCUACGGGAGGCAGCAGUAGGGAAUCUUCCGCAAUGGGCGAAAGCCUGACGGAGCAACGCCGCGUGAGUGAUGAAGGUCUUCGGAUCGUAAAACUCUGUUAUUAGGGAAGAACAAAUGUGUAAGUAACUAUGCACGUCUUGACGGUACCUAAUCAGAAAGCCACGGCUAACUACGUGCCAGCAGCCGCGGUAAUACGUAGGUGGCAAGCGUUAUCCGGAAUUAUUGGGCGUAAAGCGCGCGUAGGCGGUUUUUUAAGUCUGAUGUGAAAGCCCACGGCUCAACCGUGGAGGGUCAUUGGAAACUGGAAAACUUGAGUGCAGAAGAGGAAAGUGGAAUUCCAUGUGUAGCGGUGAAAUGCGCAGAGAUAUGGAGGAACACCAGUGGCGAAGCGACUUUCUGGUCUGUAACUGACGCUGAUGUGCGAAAGCGUGGGGAUCAAACAGGAUUAGAUACCCUGGUAGUCCACGCCGUAAACGAUGAGUGCUAAGUGUUAGGGGGUUUCCGCCCCUUAGUGCUGCAGCUAACGCAUUAAGCACUCCGCCUGGGGAGUACGACCGCAAGGUUGAAACUCAAGGAAUUGACGGGGACCCGCACAAGCGGUGGAGCAUGUUGUUUAAUUCGAAGCAACGCGAAGACCUUACCAAAUUCUGACAUCCUCUGACCCUCUAGAGAUAGAGUUUUCCCCUUCGGGGAACAAAUGGACAGGUGGUGCAUGGUUGUCGUCAGCUCGUGUC